UACGAAGGGGGCUAGCGUUGUUCGGAAUCACUGGGCGUAAAGCGCAUGCAGGCGGAUCGUUAAGUUGGGGGUGAAAUCCCGAGGCUCAACCUCGGAACUGCCUCCGAUACUGGCGAUCUUGAGUCCGGGAGAGGUGAGUGGAACUGCGAGUGUAGAGGUGAAAGUCGUAGAUAUUCGCAAGAACACCAGUGGCGAAGGCGGCUCACUGGCCCGGUACUGACGCUCAGGUGCGAAAGCGUGGGGAGCAAACAGG
rnacentral:rRNA from 1 species